AGAGUUUGAUCCUGGCUCAGAAUGAACGUUGGCGGCGUGGAUUAGGCAUGCAAGUCGAACGAAUCCCUUGUAGCAAUAUGAGGGGGAAGUGGCGAAAGGGGCAGUAAUGUAUGGGUAACCUACCCGGGGGUCGUGGAUAGCCGUCCUAACGGACGGGUAAUACAUGGCGAUUCAGCGAGGCGGCAUCGUCUUGCUGGGAAAGAAUUUCGCCUCCGGAGGGGCUCAUAUCGUAUUAGCUAGUUGGUGAGGUAACGGCUCACCAAGGCGAAGAUGCGUAGCGGGUGUGAGAGCACGACCCGCGCCACUGGCACUGAGACACUGGCCAGACACCUACGGGUGGCUGCAGUCGAGGAUCUUCGGCAAUGGGCGAAAGCCUGACCGAGCGACGCCGCGUGGAUGAUGAAGGCCUUCGGGUUGUAAAAUCCUGUCGAGGGGGAUCAAGGGCAACUUGAGUGAUCCCUGGAGGAAGCACGGGCUAAGUUCGUGCCAGCAGCCGCGGUAAGACGAACCGUGCAAACGUUAUUCGGAAUCACUGGGCAUAAAGGGCGCGUAGGCGGCUUUCUAAGUCAGGGGUGAAAUCCGGCAGCUCAACUGUCGCAGUGCCUUUGAUACUGGAGAGCUCGAGGGAGGUAGGGGUCUGUGGAACUUCCGGUGGAGCGGUGAAAUGCGUUGAUAUCGGAAGGAACGCCGGUGGCGAAAGCGACGGACUGGAUCUCUUCUGACGCUGAGGCGCGAAAGCCAGGGGAGCAAACGGGAUUAGAUACCCCGGUAGUCCUGGCCCUAAACGAUGGGUACUAGAUUGCGGACUUACAUGGGUUCGCAGUCGAAGCUAAUGUUUUAAGUACCCCGCCUGAGAGUAUGGUCGCAAGGCUGAACUCAAAGGAAUUGACGGGGCUCACACAAGCGGUGGAGCAUGUGGCUUAAUUCGAGGCUACGCGAAGAACCUUAUCCUAGGCUUGACA
rnacentral:rRNA from 1 species